GCCGAUGUAGCUCAGCUGGUAGAGCAAUUGAUUCGUAAUCAAUAGGUCGGCGGUUCAAAUCCGCUCAUCGGCUCCA
rnacentral:tRNA from 1 species